AUCUCUUCUUGCGUCCAAAUUCCCUCUUACAAGGACGCCAGGCAGACUGGAUUAGGAUCUGCCCAGAUGGCCUCAUUUGACCUUGAUUACCUCUGUAGAGGUCCUCUCUCUACAGUCCUGUUCUAAAGUACUGAGAGUUCAGCCUUUAACAUAUGAAUUUGGGGAGGGGAGCUCAAUUCAGCCCCUAACAGUUCUCAUUAUCCUAUUUAUAACAUCAGAGUAAGUAAGUCCCUUUAUAGUAUUUGUAAAGGGCGUUUUAUGAAUUCCUCUUUACAUUAUUUGACCACUUUACCUUGUUGAUUAUAAUAAUAAUGAAUGUUUAACAUUUAUUUAAUGCUCACUACCUGUCCAGCUGGCACUGAUUAUUUUAUUUGAAUUUUAGCAUUUAAGCUGCAGAUAACUGCUAUCAUUCCCAUUGCACUGAUGGGAAGACUGAGAUUUGGAGAUGUUCGUGGGCUCGCCAAGUUCACGACUAGUACCUGCCUGCACAAGAGCUCUGUAAGCCGGUACUGUAGCUGCUAUGGGAUUUCUUGGGAGAAGGGCAAGUGGAUACUUCCCUUACCAGGUUUUAACCUCCUAGAUGGCAGCUCCCCAUAUUCCUCUUUAUCUUUCUAGCAUUUUAGUUCAGUGCCUGGCAAAUACUUGGUACUCAAUUCAUACUGAGUGAUGCUGGGUGGUUUAAAUCACUGUUAUUUUCUUCUGAAAGAUAAGGACACUAACUGCUCCAUUUAAGAGUGAAAUGACCUGGUAACGUUUGUAGGAAAAACAGAGAAACACAUGUUGGGUCUUCUUCUAAAAAUACUUGUUAGGAGUGCCUGGGUGGUUCUGUUGGUGAGGCGACCUUGCUUUCUGCUCAGGCCAUGGAUCUCACAGUUCCUGGGAUCAGACCCCAUAGGGCUCUGUGCUGUCAGCAGGGAGCCUACCGGGAUUCUGUCUCUCUUCCUUUCUCUGCCCCUGGCCUGCUUGCGCUCACUUGCUCUCUCCCUCGAAAUAUUAAAAAAAAAAAAAAAAAAGAAAACUUAUUAGAGUUCUCUGAAAAGAACACCCCAACUCAGAGCUUCCCCCCACCCCCGGCAAUCAGAUAUUUAUUUAAUAACUCAGAGCCAGUUUGAUAUUAAGGGAACUUAGUGUUGUUUUCAGAAUAGCCACAACAGUAUUUUAAAAUUUAUAAUGAAGGGGAACCUGGGUGGCUCAUUCGGUUGAGCCUCCGACUCUUGAUCUCUGCUAAGGUUGUGAUCUUGCAGUUUUGUGAGUUCGAGCCCCGUGUCAGGCUGUGUGCUCAUGGCAGAGAGCCUGCUUGGGAUUCUGUCUCUCCUUCUCCCUCCCUCCCGCAUUUGUGCUCUCACUCUUGCUCUCUCUCUCUCUCUCUCUCUCUCUCUCAAAAUAAAUCAAAGUUAUUAAAAUUGGGGCACUGGGUGGCUCAGUUGGUCGAGCGUCUGUCUCAGCUCAGGUCACGAUCUCAUAGUCAUGUGUUCAAGCCCAGCCUCAGGCUUGGUGCUGCGUGUGGAGCCUGCUUGAGACGCUCUCUCCCUCUUUCUCUCUCUUUUUCUCUCUCUGUCUCUCUCCCUCUGCCGCUGUCCCCCACUUGCGCACACACACUAUCUCUUUUUAAGAAAAAAAAGAAUAACAAAUAUUAAAAUCUAUAAUAAAAAAACCUACCUCUGCGGGCAAGCAAUUACCAUGAUGUGUGUCUGCAAACUUGAAGAUCACACAUGCACCUGGGCUUUGCUGGUUGUGUCCCUGCACCACCUCCCCAUGUGCUUUCACGUUUUGGACGGUUUCGGCUUCAGCUCUGAACGGAGGGCCCUGGGGUCUCAGUGAGCUUUCCGUUAGAAUCCGAUUCACUGUUGUUCCUCCUUCAGCCGUCUGGAUACGCCUGUGAGGAAAUGGGAAGCAGCGGUGCUUUAUCAAAGCACAGAAUGAUGAAAUCCUAAGCACUUCAAAGGAUUCCUAGUUUUUCCACUUAGAAAUCGAAUGGGAUCGCGUUGCUCUUUGCCCCUAUUAUUGUAGUCAAUUCUGUGUUGACUUAAUAGGCCUCCUUUGACUUUUCGUCUUGUAAAAAUAGGAUAGAGGCUGUUUACUGGUAAUUUCUUAAACGCAGAGGUGUUUCACCUUGGUCUAAAUAGGUGUUGUCAAUGGACGCACCUGCUCGUAAGAUACAUAUUUGCAUAUUUUUAUACAUACACGUAAAACCCACUAGUUCUGCCACUUAAUACAUGUUUUAAAGAAAUAAUUUUAUCUUUUUUUUUUUUACCAUUUAAUUUGCUUAUCUGGAGACAGUAAGUCUGAACGAUUUCAGAGGUAACCUGGAGAAAUAAAUUGCAGUUUGGAAAGAAGCUUAAGUGUCUGCUGAAGGAUUUUAUAAUUGAUAUUAUUUUUGUUUCCACCAACAGACUAUGGAAAGUAAUAGAAAAAAUCACAAGCGAACAAGGUCCACGCCUCGUGCUCAACGGUUCAAGUGUAAUUCUGUUUCAAUAUACAUGCCUUAAGUUCAAUUCUGGAUGUGAUUGGACCCACAAAAGGCAGGGACUCCACGAACUCAUUACAAUCAAAUGGGACUUGAAUUCUCUUGUCUAAUGUCAUAAUAAGCAAUUAUGAGCAUCUUCUCAGGCAUUCAAAUAGGGUAAUAGUGAAACCCUAGAGAGACAUUAUAUGCUGGCAGACUCUGGCUGAUGUGAUGGGCAUAUGCUCGAUGGACCCCUAAAGGCACGAUGGGUAGCUAGAUGCCAGGGCAAAUUGCCCUCGGUAUUUAGGGUAGACACUACCUUCAAUUACGACUUGUGUUUUAUAAGCUGAGCCGUUAUAAUAAUAUGUGUGUUCAUUCUGGAGAAUUCUCUGUGGCAACAGAACAAACAGCCUUUCUCAUCCAGUUCCCAUUUUCAUGAGAGAACAGCAAAUGAAACUUGUCUUUUAACUUCGCAUUUCUCUGAUGGCGGAGGCUGGGAAGAUACAAGUUGCUGCUCUCUGCUGCCAUUUCAUUAAGUUAAAUGUGCUUUUGUCCACUCUGGGAAAGGUAGCAGAUUUUGCAUUACCAGGGGGACUAUUUGAAGAGAUAAUUAGAUAAGUAAAUACUCGCCAACCUGCGCCAAGAUGUUGAGUAGAGCCUGUUACUUAUUGGAAAUUUCCCCUGCAAACAAAUUUAACUGAAUUGUCGUCUUCUUUUCAGCUGAGUCCUUGGAGCAACAUGAGACGAUCUCUCUCUUUUUCCACUAGUUAGAAAAGGAGGUUCAACCAGAUGACUUCUAAGGGAGAUUCCUGCUCAAAAUGUAUGAGUCAACGAAAUAGUGAUAAGACGUCAUUAAUACAUACUGUAGAACUAUCUAAAUUGGAUAUCUGUAGAAGAAUGUACUUUCCAUAAGGACCCAGGCUACAUGAUCAGCCUGCUGCAUGGUUGGUCUGAUCUGUGAUGGCAGCGUUGGUCACUGAAACAGAAGCCUGGUGUGGACAUCCAUGCAACGAUCGUCAGACUGUCCUCCGAACCAAACCUCAGCUGCAUCCCAAGUAGUAUCUUCGAUGCAGGCAAAUCAUUAAGGGAUUCCAUUUUGGCUCUUUUUAACCAUCAAAAAUCAGUUUGGUUUUAGUGCAAAAUAUACUUACCCUCCCAACUUCUAUCUUCAUGGGAAAAAUUGAACCAGCAUUUCCAAAAGAGAAGAAAGAAGCUUAGCCAUUUCCCUCUACCAUUUCCUCAAUUUGAUUCAUUCUGAGUCUUAUGAUAUUAAGGAUAGCAUCAUCCUAAGUAAGAUAAGUAAAGUCCAGCAAAGUGAUUGGCGGGAUAAUGGAAGAAAAUGUGGAUGCCCUGUGUGUUGGGGGGGGAGAGAUGGACAUUUCCAAGGGAAGUGAUGAACCAACAACAUGGAGGUCAUGGGAAUUGCUGUCACAACUUCUAGAGAUCAGCCAAAAAGCACGAAGUGAGUUUUCUUUUUAAUUUUAAAUAUUCUGCAUAAAAAUGUGGGGUAAUAUCACUGUUACAUGGGCUUAAAAGUUCACCGGUAAGCCUGGGCAUUCUAUUUGUUAGUUGAUCACUAGUGUCUUGAGUCACCUGCACCAGGAACCACAGCUUGAAAGCACCUGCAUCUAAAAUAAUAUCCUGUGCCUACAUUGACAGCAUGGGUACCAGGUAAGCUGUUGUCCAAUCUCACACUAUUGAGAAUUUUCCAGAAAGGGACAUAUUUAAUUCAGGCUGCCAUACAAUAAGUAACAUGGUCCUCUCUCUUCUAAUACACUCACAGGUACGUUUGAUAGGGGGUGAGGAUACACAGCUGACUGGCCAGCUCGUGCCACCCGGUGAAUGUUCCAUGACAGGUACUGGCUUCAGCAGUCUUGAUUCCAGAGUUUCUUUGACCAAUGAUUACCACGUGGCUUCCAUAUUCCCUGUCUUUGAAUGGGAGUUUCUAUUACGGUUUUCCUGUUCCUGGUGUACAAUUGUAUGUUGGGGAGAUGAGGGAGAGAAAGUCUAUCUCAUAUGCUCACAGGUCUCCAAAUCAAGUGGGAGGGUGCCUGAUGAAUGUCCUCUGCACCUAGAUUUAGGGGGGUGGCCGUACUUCUCACAGGGAAGCUGGGCUCCCAGAAAAUGCAAAAAGCCAGAGCUGUCAGGCCUUCUCCAGCCUCAGGCCUGGAGCUGGGACAACAUUGCUUCCAUCGUUUUGUUGUUCGAUGCAAGUUUCAGGCCCAGCCCAGAUUUAAGGAGCAGGCACUACACAGAGGUGUAAAUACUAGGGGGUGUGGUUUCUCUUGGCACGCCACUGUAAGGGACUACAAAGUGCGAUCCUCAGUGCCUACAGACGGAAGCAGCAAGUCUAAAAACGAAGCUUGCAGAACACUCAUGUGGCUCGUGCAAAAUGUGGAGAUGUCAAGAAAGGAAGAUGGCUGUGUAAUGACGGAUGCUAGUCUCCCAAGGACGGACUAAGUAGGAAAAGAGGGCCCCUGGAGGAAGGAAGACUAUCCCAGUUGUCAUCUGGAACAUUCAUUGUUUUGACUGAACUCAUCCGUUGCAGUAUCAUAGAAGAGAAUGAAUUUUAUCCCAACUGCUGUGAAUUACGCUUUAGAAAAAUCAGACUCUGGAUGUAGAAAUCAUCUGUUUCAGGAGUGAAUGCGUUCCUGAAAAGUUCUUAUUCUUGAUGCCGAUGUCUUGUAAAGACUUAUAAAGUAAAAGGAAACAAAAGGGGCGUGCUAUCCCUACCAAACCUUAGGUAUUUUAGCUCAGGGCCACAGCCCUGCAGAGGAAGACAGGUAUCGGAAGCAAUCUUGGACGUCGGAAGACCUCCGUUUACACUUCUGUUAUCCUGUUGUUUUAUGUAUUAUUCAAGGUCCUGCCAAAAUAGGAAUUAAAGGGCAGCUGUCAAAAUGACAGCUUAAAAAUAA